AUUGAACGCUGGCGGCAGGCCUAACACAUGCAAGUCGAACGGUAACAGGAAGAAGCUUGCUUCUUUGCUGACGAGUGGCGGACGGGUGAGUAAUGUCUGGGAAACUGCCUGAUGGAGGGGGAUAACUACUGGAAACGGUAGCUAAUACCGCAUAACGUCGCAAGACCAAAGAGGGGGACCUUCGGGCCUCUUGCCAUCGGAUGUGCCCAGAUGGGAUUAGCUAGUAGGUGGGGUAACGGCUCACCUAGGCGACGAUCCCUAGCUGGUCUGAGAGGAUGACCAGCCACACUGGAACUCAGACACGGUCCAGACUCCUACGGGAGGCAGCAGUGGGGAAUAUUGCACAAUGGGCGCAAGCCUGAUGCAGCCAUGCCGCGUGUAUGAAGAAGGCCUUCGGGUUGUAAAGUACUUUCAGCGGGGAGGAAGGGAGUAAAGUUAAUACCUUUGCUCAUUGACGUUACCCGCAGAAGAAGCACCGGCUAACUCCGUG
rnacentral:rRNA from 1 species